AGUGAACGCUGGCGGUAGGCCUAACACAUGCAAGUCGAACGGCAGCACAGGAGAGCUUGCUCUCUGGGUGGCGAGUGGCGGACGGGUGAGGAAUACAUCGGAAUCUACUUUUUCGUGGGGGAUAACGUAGGGAAACUUACGCUAAUACCGCAUACGACCUACGGGUGAAAGCAGGGGAUCUUCGGACCUUGCGCGAUUGAAUGAGCCGAUGUCGGAUUAGCUAGUUGGCGGGGUAAAGGCCCACCAAGGCGACGAUCCGUAGCUGGUCUGAGAGGAUGAGCGGCCACACUGGAACUGAGACACGGUCCAGACUCCUACGGGAGGCAGCAGUGGGGAAUAUUGGACAAUGGGCGCAAGCCUGAUCCAGCCAUACCGCGUGGGUGAAGAAGGCCUUCGGGUUGUAAAGCCCUUUUGUUGGGAAAGAAAUCCAGCUGGUUAAUACCCGGUUGGGAUGACGGUACCCAAAGAAUAAGCACCGGCUAACUUCGUGCCAGCAGCCGCAGUAA
rnacentral:rRNA from 1 species